rnacentral:rRNA from 1 species
CCUACGGGUGGCAGCAGUGGGGGAUAUUGGACAAUGGGGGAAACUCUGAACCAGCGAUGCCGCGUGAGGGAAGAAGGUUUUAGGAUUGGAAACCUCCGUGGAGGGGGACGAUAAUGACGGUACCCCUUUCGGAAGCCACGGCUAACUACGUGCCGGCAGCCGCGGUAAUACGGAGGUGGCAAGCGUUGUCCGGAAUUACUGGGUGUAAAGGGAGUGUAGGCGGGAAAGCAAGUCAGAAGUGAAAACUAUGGGCUUAACCCAUAGCCUGCUUUUGAAACUGUUUUUCUUGAGUGAAGUAGAGGCAGGCGGAAUUCAUGGUGUAGCGGUGAAAUGCGUAGAUAUUAGGAGGAACACCAAUGGCGAAGGCGGCUUACUGGGCUUUAACUGACGCUGAGGCACGAAAGCAUGGGUAGCAAACAGGAUUAGAUACCCCAGUAGUC